UACGAAGGGGGCUAGCGUUGCUCGGAUUCAUUGGGCGUAAAGGGUGCGUAGGCGGUCGGGUAAGUCGGAUGUGAAAUCUCAGGGCUCAACCCUGAAACUGCAUUCGAUACUGCCUGGCUAGGGUACUGGAGAGGAGACUGGAAUUUACGGUGUAGCAGUGAAAUGCGUAGAUAUCGUAAGGAAGACCAGUGGCGAAGGCGAGUCUCUGGACAGUUACCGACGCUGAGGCACGAAAGCUAGGGGAGCAAACAGG
rnacentral:rRNA from 1 species